GACGAACGCUGGCGGCGUGCUUAACACAUGCAAGUCGAGCGGUAAGGCCUUUCGGGGUACACGAGCGGCGAACGGGUGAGUAACACGUGGGUGAUCUGCCCUGCACUUCGGGAUAAGCCUGGGAAACUGGGUCUAAUACCGGAUAUGACUUCAGGUUGCAUGACUUGGGGUGGAAAGAUUUAUCGGUGCAGGAUGGGCCCGCGGCCUAUCAGCUUGUUGGUGGGGUAAUGGCCUACCAAGGCGACGACGGGUAGCCGACCUGAGAGGGUGACCGGCCACACUGGGACUGAGACACGGCCCAGACUCCUACGGGAGGCAGCAGUGGGGAAUAUUGCACAAUGGGCGAAAGCCUGAUGCAGCGACGCCGCGUGAGGGAUGACGGCCUUCGGGUUGUAAACCUCUUUCAGCAGGGACGAA
rnacentral:rRNA from 1 species